GCAAGUCGAACGCAUCCUUCGGGAUGAGUGGCAGACGGGUGAGUAACGCGUGGGAAUCUACCGAGCUCUACGGAACAACACAUAGAAAUGUGUGCUAAUACCGUAUACGCCCUUAGGGGGAAAGAUUUAUCGGAGAUAGAUGAGCCCGCGUUGGAUUGCUAGUUGGUGAGGUAAUGGCUCACCAAGGCGACGAUCUAUAGCUGGUCUGAGAGGAUGAUC
rnacentral:rRNA from 1 species